GACGAACGCUGGCGGCGUGCUUAACACAUGCAAGUCGAACGGAAAGGCCCUGCUUUUGUGGGGUGCUCGAGUGGCGAACGGGUGAGUAACACGUGAGUAACCUGCCCUUGACUUUGGGAUAACUUCAGGAAACUGGGGCUAAUACCGGAUAGGAGCUCCUGCUGCAUGGUGGGGGUUGGAAAGUUUCGGCGGUUGGGGAUGGACUCGCGGCUUAUCAGCUUGUUGGUGGGGUAGUGGCUUACCAAGGCUUUGACGGGUAGCCGGCCUGAGAGGGUGACCGGCCACAUUGGGACUGAGAUACGGCCCAGACUCCUACGGGAGGCAGCAGUGGGGAAUAUUGCACAAUGGGCGGAAGCCUGAUGCAGCAACGCCGCGUGCGGGAUGACGGCCUUCGGGUUGUAAACCGCUUUCGCCUGUGACGAAGCGUGAGUGACAGUAAUGGGUAAAGAAGCACCGGCUAACUACGUGCCAGCAGCCGCGGUGAUACGUAGGGUGCGAGCGUUGUCCGGAUUUAUUGGGCGUAAAGGGCUCGUAGGUGGUUGAUCGCGUCGGAAGUGUAAUCUUGGGGCUUAACCCUGAGCGUGCUUUCGAUACGGGUUGACUUGAGGAAGGUAGGGGAGAAUGGAAUUCCUGGUGGAGCGGUGGAAUGCGCAGAUAUCAGGAGGAACACCAGUGGCGAAGGCGGUUCUCUGGGCCUUUCCUGACGCUGAGGAGCGAAAGCGUGGGGAGCGAACAGGCUUAGAUACCCUGGUAGUCCACGCUGUAAACGGUGGGUACUAGGUGUGGGGUCCAUUCCACGGGUUCCGUGCCGUAGCUAACGCUUUAAGUACCCCGCCUGGGGAGUACGGCCGCAAGGCUAAAACUCAAAGGAAUUGGCGGGGCCCCGCACAAGCGGCGGAGCAUGCGGAUUAAUUCGAUGCAACGCGUAGAACCUUACCUGGGUUUGACAUGGAUCGGGAGUGCUCAGAGAUGGGUGUGCCUCUUUUGGGGUCGGUUCACAGGUGGUGCAUGGCUGUCGUCAGCUCGUGUCGUGAGAUGUUGGGUUAAGUCCCGCAACGAGCGCAACCCUUGUUCACUGUUGCCAGCACGUUAUGGUGGGGACUCAGUGGAGACCGCCGGGGUCAACUCGGAGGAAGGUGGGGAUGACGUCAAGUCAUCAUGCCCCUUAUGUCCAGGGCUUCACGCAUGCUACAAUGGCUGGUACAGAGAGUGGCGAGCCUGUGAGGGUGAGCGAAUCUCGGAAAGCCGGUCUCAGUUCGGAUUGGGGUCUGCAACUCGACCUCAUGAAGUCGGAGUCGCUAGUAAUCGCAGAUCAGCAACGCUGCGGUGAAUACGUUCCCGGGGCU
rnacentral:rRNA from 1 species